GUGAGGAUAGCUUAGUUGGGAGAGUGUCAAACUGAAGAUCUAAAGGUCACAUGUUCGAUCAUGUUCGUCGCA
rfam:Ipomoea nil DNA, scaffold: scaffold2144, cultivar: Tokyo-kokei standard.